rnacentral:lncRNA from 1 species
GCAAGCUAAAACAAGAACUCUGUAAGCUUUUAAGAUAUCAGCAGCUGAUGUCCUAUUGCUUACCAAUGGUGAAUACGAUGGUGCCCCCAUCCCAGCCAAACGUGUCGUAAGUGCAUCUGCAAAGUAAUUAGCAAAUCUUUGGGUUCCGUCUCCAGUUGUAGAAGAGUUUUGACUUAUUUGUUUCAACAGCUCAUUUGCGGUCCUUUGGUCAUUAAUGGCGACAGCUUGUGCACAUUGAGUGAGGAGACUCCACAGAUCGACCACCUCACUUUUCUUGCCGUUCUUCCUGCGUGCUGUUCCACCUUUGGAUGUCCC